AUUGAACGCUGGCGGAAUGCUUUACACAUGCAAGUCGAACGGCAGCACGGGAGCUUGCUCCUGGUGGCGAGUGGCGAACGGGUGUGUAAUGCGUCGGAACGUACCGAGUAAUGGGGGAUAACGCAGCGAAAGCUGUGCUAAUACCGCAUACGCCCUGAGGGGGAAAGUGGGGGAUCGCAAGACCUCACGUUAUUCGAGCGGCCGACGUCUGAUUAGCUAGUUGGUGGGGUAAAGGCCUACCAAGGCGACGAUCUGUAGCUGGUCUGAGAGGAUGGCCAGCCACACUGGAACUGAGACACGGUCCAGACUCCUACGGGAGGCAGCAGUGGGGAAUAUUGGACAAUGGGGGCAACCCUGAUCCAGCCAUGCCGCGUGUGUGAAGAAGGCCUCGGUUGUAAGUACACUUAAGUACGAGGAGGAAGGUUUU
rnacentral:rRNA from 1 species